rnacentral:rRNA from 1 species
AACGAACGCUGGCGGCAUGCCUAACACAUGCAAGUCGAACGAGACCUCCGGGUCUAGUGGCGCACGGGUGCGUCACGCGUGGGAACCUGCCCUUAGGUUCGGAAUAACUCCCCGACAGGGGUGCUAAUACCGGAUAAUGUCUUCUGACCAAAGAUUUAUCGCCUUUGGAUGGGCCGGCGUUGGAUUAGCUAGUUGGGAGGGUAAAAGCCUACCAAGGCGACGAUCCAUAGCUGGUCUGUGAGGAUGAUCAGCGACACUGAGAGUGAGACGCGGCCCAGAAUCUUACGGGAGGCGGGAGAGGCGAAUAUAGGAAAAUGGCCGAAGGGAUGAUCGAGCUCGGCUGCGUGAGUGAUGAAGGUCUGAGGGUAGUAAAGCUCUUUUACCCGGGAUGAUAAUGACGGUACCGGGAGAAUAAGCUCCGGCUAACUACGUG